rnacentral:tRNA from 1 species
GUGGCUAUAGCCCAACGGUUAAGGCGCUUGCCUGUGGAGCAAGAUAUACGGGUUCGAUUCCCGUUAGCCACC